GGAGGGAGUAUCAGGUUUGAUCUAUGUCCUAUUGCCCUAUGAAUGUUGUUGGGCCAGAAGUUCGAACUAGUUCACUUGGCCUUUCUGGACUGUUUUUUUCAAAAAAAAAAAAUGCUGGUAAUGUGCAAUAAGUAGACACUAACCAGUAGGACCAGACAAACCACUAUAUAUCAAUUCAUUCUUCAAAGGUAUACGUGUCAGCGGGAGCUGUCAAAAAGCUAGUUUAUUUUAGUGAAAUAACGUUUUUACAAAAUUACAGGUUUAUUUUCAAAUCUAUAAAGAACUAAAGGGUUAAGCAGCAAUUUAGCAUAGAGUAGCCUUCCAUACCUAUUCUGUAGCUUGGUCAACAGCGAUGCUAGAUGUUCGUCUGCAUUUUUAUUACCAUGUCGGGCCAUCGCUAUCAACACUGAAUUCUCAAAACAUCCUAGAAAACAUUUACUACUUCCUUGAGAAGUUUACCCCUUAAUUCUGUACUUCUUCAAACUCGAAAAAAGAAACUCUGUACUUCUGCAAGAUUAAUGAGUAAAUCUUCAGUUUUUCGAUGUUUUGACCGCCGCCUGUAGUCUUGGAAAUUUUUCUCUAGUAUUAUACAAUGGUCGAAAUUGGGGGUCUUUUCUGCAUGCAUACCACGGUUACACUGUGACAUAUACUAAAAUGCUUUUCUGAAAGUCUUAGUGUAAUGUAUGUGUAAGCUGAAAUAAAGGUAUGCAUUAUUUAUUUUGUUCCAUGGAAAGAAUUGUUGAAAUAAACCCAAGAUAAUGAUUCAUCAAGCAUAUUAUAACCAUUCUGAAUGGCUAUGAGCCUUUGAUAGUGUCAAGAUCUAACAAAUAGCUAGGACCACCAGCAGUACUAAGCACUCCUAAGAGGGGUAGGGGUCUGAUCAUAGCUAAGCAGUUAUACUUACCAACGCUUUGCAAUGGGUGGUUGGCUGAUCUACAGCUAGCUGCUUGCAGAAAUGCUGGUCAGACCUGAUUCUUUUAGAGUGAUGUUUUAGAGAAUGUGCAAGAGCUUUUCACAUCUUAUCAUGAAGAAGUGUGCCAGACGUGAUUUAUCUUUGAUAAAAGAAGUAUCGAUACCGAUAAACCCAGAGUGUGCGUACACACUAACUGCAGGCCAAAGCAUUCCAAUAUUUACUGAGCAGGUUCAUUUCCUGUGUGCAUUAUGAAUUAGCUGUGUCCGCACAUACCAUGUUUCGUUGGCAUCUUCCUAAACAUGGUAAAUAGGCGGUUCUCUCAUGUUGGGUCUCUUUUACACUAUAGCUUUGCAUAGUAUAGCAAUUUACUUGCUGGAUAUUUCAGCAGUCCAAUGUAUUUGGAACUCGGAAUAGUUAUAGAAGUAUGGUGGUAUACUUUUGAUUUGAACCAUCUGGUAAUCUUUGAUUCAAUUUUUACAGGUCACAAUACAAUGACAAAAUCUAGACUCUCGGCCCUAAUCAGCCCUAAUUUCUUUACUUCUUAAUUGCAAAUUUAUGGUUCACUAUUUGAUGCAUGGUUAAUACUCCAUUUUUUUCUUUCGGGUGUUUUUUCGGAGAAAGAAGUUUAGGCAAACUUAUUUUUCAAAUGAUGUUGUCUCAUAUCUGAGUAUAUAUUGCAUAGUCUUCGCAAAAAGGUAUACAUUACAGUGGAGACCAUGCAUUGCAAGUGUGCGGUUGCUGAUAUACCAAUUACCAAGUCUUAUGACCCUAACCCUACAAGUUUCUAUACCAAUAAUACUACAAGUUAGGUGAGAUGCUUUCCGUUUGAACUAUUUGUUAAUCCUUAAUUCAGUUUAUAAAUCACAAUCCAGUGGUUGUUGGCAAAAAUUAGACUCUCAACCCUAAUCACUUCUAUAUUAAUUGGCACAUGAUUAGUCUUUGAUAUAGUCUUUUGUUACAACUUAGGGGCUAUUUGGCAAUCCACUGCUCCCUGAAAUUCAAGGAUCUGCAGAGCACCUGUUCCCCCGCUCCAUACUUUUUACCUUCAGCUCCGCCAGCUCCGGGAGCGAGAGCGUGGAGUCGGAGGGAUGCCGAACAGGCCUUUAGUGUGAACUUAUCCCUUGAGUGGUUUAUGGGAGAAAUAAUUUCAGUGAGCUUCUAUUUUAAAUACUUUUUUCUUUGUAUGUGUGAACUGCCUUAAAAAUACUUAUCAUAUCUGUCCUACUUAUGGUCGUCAGUUCACUCUUCUCCCAAUCUUCCUCCAAACUCUGACAGGGCAGGAUCAUGCAAACCUUCACGGUCCUCCUGAAUUCUCCCCUCGUGCCGUCUCCCACCACUAAUUACAUUCGGACCAACUUUCAAACAAGUUCUUGUUCUUGGGUAAUACUCCCUCCGUCCCAAAAUAAGUGUCUCAACUUUGUACUAAUCUUAAUAUAAAGUUGUACUAACCUUAAGACAAUUAUUUUGGGACGGAGGGAGUACCAUACUCCACCUUGUUUCAUGUGGUUCGUGGCGUAGCACAGGCACCUUGCUGGUAAGCAGUAGAAUAUAGUGGAAAUGUACACUUAAAAUUGAUCCUUCACUUUUACAAGCUAAGGAAUGCAUGACGUCCUUUGUCUAACAGUUUACGUUUGCAGCCUCCUCUUUAUCCAAAGGUUGAAACACAGCAGCUUUCCAUUUUUCUACUCAUUGGCAUUGCCUGGGUAAUACUCCUGCUAUCUUUACCAUCCACUUGACAAUGUCAUUAAUCAAUUAGUUGGCAUGUACAUGCACCAUAAUUUGGGCCAUUUUAGGUGGAUCUGGGGGAUAACAGUGUCAACAUCGCUGGGUAACUUAAUGCUAUAUGCCUUACAAAUGUUGAAUGUUGAUUAGGAUGGCAUCGCCAGAUUGAUUCCAAUGAGUGUAGCAAAGGGCAAAGUUAAUGUUGGGGGACCAGUACACCUACACUACUGGACAUAUUGAAUGCAUGCUUUUGCAACAUGGGAGGUCCUUCACCAGCUACUGUGGCACCACAAGAUGUCAAGGCGGGACUAGUAUGAUUUUUUCAGAAAAUAUAGCAGCAGCAGCAGUGUCACUACCCUAAAUCAUUGGAGCAUCAUAUAUCUAACAAUUUGUUCUGCAGGACAUAUUAGGAGCACUAAUUGUCAUAAUAUUUCAGCUUUGCUGUGCGGAGCCCAUUUAUUAUGUUUUGAUGGAUGUAGACCUGAAGUGGUGAUCACCUUUUUCUGAUAACAAGGACAUGACGAGAAAGGCAAACUGAUUUGUUUGUAUCUAAGCAUCCCAACUCAGUAGGGAUCUCGCUAUAUUGGCAUCGCUUUUGCUUCUGGCCACCACCAUUGGAUUUCACCAAGGUCUUAAUCAGCAAUUUUCUUAGAGCAUCUGAUGAUUCGUGACUGAUCCCUUGUAUUACAAGAGGGUUACACACGGGAACAUCUAGGAAUUGCAUGGAGAGUCUCAUGCGCAGGAGUAAUUGAUUGACAGAUGUUUUCGGUAAAUCGUAUUCUUCGUCUCGUUUGGGCUUACCAAAUGAUUUCGAAAACUCGAGGUGCAUGCUCUCUCGUAUCUUCGGUGAUUACUCCUUCCGGCUAUACGAAGUACUAACAUACCG